AUGCACCAACAAUCCAGACGAAGGCAUAUUUCCAACAACAAGAUGAUCCGCAAGAUGAGGAGGAGGCUCGGCGGCAUGCUUUCUCGGAAUAUCGGCGUUGAUGUCGAGUAUACCAGGGAAGACAAACCUCCGCAAAUUGCUGCAGUUCUGCAGUUAUGCGUGGAGGAUCUCGUCCUGGUAUACCACAUCACCGCGACAACCAAAUGGCCCAAGGAACUCCGCCCGCUCCUGCAGGAGAAGAAGUUGUACACCUUUGUUGGCUUCUGCAUUGGAGGCGACAAGGAGAAGCUGAAGUUGUCUGGUUUGGAGAUCAACCCCGACAAGUACGUCGACUUGCAGCGCAAAUGGAGAGUUCCAAACAAUGGAAAGAAGUGGCAGUCUUUGGCUGAGUUUGCAGCCAGCCUCAUUCACCCAUCCUACUCAAAAAUGAAGCAGAAGAUCGACAGGAAUUCGGACCACCUACUAUGGGGGGACAUCCGACUACCAAACAAGCUCAUCGAGUACGCCGUGAAAGAUGCGUACGUCACCUACGAGGCAUGGAAGAAAAUCGAAAUCACCAAAGAAGGUUUCGAGCUCUGGCAAGAGGCGGAGGAUCAUUGGGAUGACCCCUACUACUGGGGAUAUUGA
rnacentral:rRNA from 1 species